rnacentral:rRNA from 1 species
CCUACGGGAGGCAGCAGUGAGGAAUAUUGGUCAAUGGGCGCGAGCCUGAACCAGCCAAGUCGCGUGAGGGAUGACGGUCCUACGGAUUGUAAACCUCUUUUGCCGGGGAGCAAGCGUGCGUUCGUGAACGCGCGUCGAGAGUACCCGGAGAAAAAGCAUCGGCUAACUCCGUGCCAGCAGCCGCGGUAAUACGGAGGAUGCGAGCGGUAUCCGGAUUUACUGGGUGUAAAGGGAGCGUAGACGGCUAAUCAAGUCAGAAGUGAAAACCCAGGGCUCAACUUUGGGACUGCUUUUGAAACUGAGUAGCUAGAGUGCAGGAGAGGUAAGCGGAAUUCCUAGUGUAGCGGUGAAAUGCGUAGAUAUUAGGAGGAACACCAGUGGCGAAGGCGGCUUACUGGACUGUAACUGACGUUGAGGCUCGAAAGCGUGGGGAGCAAACAGGAUUAGAUACCCGGGUAGUC